rnacentral:rRNA from 1 species
GACGAGCGCUGGCGGCGUGCCUAAUACAUGCAAGUUGAGCGCUGAAGGUUGGUACUUGUACCAACUGGAUGAGCAGCGAACGGGUGAGUAACGCGUGGGGAAUCUGCCUUUGAGCGGGGGACAACAUUUGGAAACGAAUGCUAAUACCGCAUAAAAACUUUAAACACAAGUUUUAAGUUUGAAAGAUGCAAUUGCAUCACUCAAAGAUGAUCCCGCGUUGUAUUAGCUAGUUGGUGAGAUAAAGGCUCACCAAGGCGAUGAUACAUAGCCGACCUGAGAGGGUGAUCGGCCACAUUGGGACUGAGACACGGCCCAAACUCCUACGGGAGGCAGCAGUAGGGAAUCUUCGGCAAUGGACGAAAGUCUGACCGAGCAACGCCGCGUGAGUGAAGAAGGUUUUCGGAUCGUAAAACUCUGUUGGUAGAGAAGAACGUUGGUGAGAGUGGAAAGCUCAUCAAGUGACGGUAACUACCCAGAAAGGGACGGCUAACUACGUG